AGCCAACUAACGAAUCCUAACUAGGAUGAAACACGUGUCCUGGAU
rfam:Schistosoma haematobium scaffold801_4, whole genome shotgun sequence.